CAUUGCACAUGAUAGUGGGGCU
rnacentral:miRNA from 2 species